rnacentral:lncRNA from 12 species
AUGCUCAAAUCGAAACACAAGAAUAGAUGUCGGGGAGUCAACCACAGUAUCCCCCCCGCCCCCACAGACGGCAGCAGGAGUGGGAAGAACCAGAAUGUUGCUACAUGUCUGAGGGGCACCACGAGUCAAAGCUGGCGAGGUGGAUCUUGUCAUCGCUGGAAGAAACAAAACAGCUCAGAUGUGAGUGAAGAAGCCAAAUUUUCAGGAUCUGGAAAGAGGAAAUAAUGUGGAAGAGCAAGGAGCACGGAAAAGCCCAAGAGCUGAGGAUGACUGGUAGGGCACAGACAGAAGAGCCGCCGAGCCUCUUGCUUAGAGACCUGGAGGGACCCGGAGUGGGGAUGCGGUCAGACUGCUGGAGGGAAGGGAGCUGUGCCACAAAUGUCCAGUUUUUAUCAUAGGCUAAAUUUUUGACGGGGAGCAGAAUGUUUUUGCUAGGCUCACUCGUGCUGGGGAUAGGGCACACAGGCAUUUGGACGUAGAAACUAUAAAUGGUAUUUUUUCACUUUGAAAAUAGAAUAUGCUAAAAAAAUAGAAAGAUAUUUUUUGAUUCUCUUCUUUUAUUCACUUUCAAAAUUUUGGUUCUCAACUGAAUAUGCAUAUUUUUCAAACAUUUUAAGCCACUAAAAUACUAUGGUGAAAAGGUUGAUACAUUAGGCUUCAGUGGGAGCAUAACAGGUACAAUUUUUUAGGCGUUUUAUGAUAUUGACAAUUAAAGCUGAACACUUGCAGCCCUGUCACCAAGUAUACACCUAGCAUAGCCAACAGGAAGGUAUGCAACCGUUUACAGAUGACAUGUGCAAGGAUGGUUGCAAAAGCCCUAUUUCAUAACAGUGCCAAACCUGAAAUUACCCAAAUAUCCACCAAUAAUAGAGGAGAGAAGGUGAGACUUCCAGAAUGACCAGGCAAGGAGCUCGGAGCUCAGCAGGACAUCUCUCCAGCAAUGUAACAACUAACUGGCUAAAAUCAUGUCAGAAAAUAAUCAUGUGAACUUUCUGGAAGUUGUCCUAAGCACACACACAUACAGCAAAUAGGGAAAAAUUAAUUCAAGAAAAUCUACUAAAUCUCUAUGUAAACAGUGAGAGCCUGUGGCAUUUAAGCCACUACCUACUUCACUAACCUCCUUCCCCCAGCUCUGUGCUACAGAAGCUCUCCUGUGGGCCAGUGUGAGAAGGGGGUUCCUCUCCCCCAGCUCCUAGUCUGGGCUAUGGUUUCCUUCCAAGAGGGG